rnacentral:rRNA from 1 species
AGAGUUUGAUCAUGGCUCAGGACGAACGCUGGCGGCGUGCCUAAUACAUGCAAGUUGAGCGGUAGCACAGAGAGCUUGCUUCUCCGCUGACGAGCGGCGGACGGGUGAGUAAUGUAUGGGGAUCUGCCUGAUGGCGGGGGAUAACUACUGGAAACGGUAGCUAAUACCGCAUAAUGUCUUCGGACCAAAGCGGGGGACCUCCGGGCCUCGCGCCAUCAGAUGAACCCAUAUGGGAUUAGCUUGUAGGUGAGGUAACGGCUCACCUAGGCGACGAUCCCUAGCUGGUCUGAGAGGAUGAUCAGCCACACUGGGACUGAGACACGGCCCAGACUCCUACGGGAGGCAGCAGUGGGGAAUAUUGCACAAUGGGCGCAAGCCUGAUGCAGCCAUGCCGCGUGUAUGAAGAAGGCCUUCGGGUUGUAAAGUACUUUCAGUCGGGAGGAAGGUGGUGAGCUCAAUACGCUCAUCAAUUGACGUUACCGACAGAAGAAGCACCGGCUAACUCCGUGCCAGCAGCCGCGGUAAUAC